CAAGUAUCCGACUCAGAUGCCCAGUCCAUGGGAGGCCCGGCAGCAGAUGCUGAGGGCCGAUGCACAAAGGCUUGAGACCCAGGUAGUCCCACCCUUCGGAGGCUGGCGUCACUGGAGCCCCUGCCAUCCUGCCCAGGCAGCAACAAGGAUGGUGACCAGGAAUGAAUGGGGACCACCGGCACCCUACGGCAUCCUGGAGAAGCAGGUGGACGAGAGGCCUCUAUCUAGCCCUGGACGUAUUGGGCUGUGUACCUUCUGUGUCCUGGGUGGACGCCGGGGUUUGCUGCUAGCCCCUGGAGAUACCUGUAGCUUAAGGGCCUAUGGGUAUCUGUAAGCAUAUAUAUAUAUACAUAUAUAUACACACACACACUCAAGAAGGGCCCCCUGGCCCUUAGGUGACUCUCUGCUCCUGGUAAGACUCCCAAGCCUCAGCCACUCUUCCUAUAUGGCUGUUGGUGGUGAACUGGCCUCAGGCCAGGACCAGGCAGUCCAUGGGCCUGUAUGCCCUUGUUGACUAGGUCCUGCCAUAUGUUCAAAGAACACUUGGUCAGGUUUCAAGAUGGCUUUAAGCCUGCAGGUCCCUUUUGGGUCCCCCCCACCUUUCUUACUGGGGUCUAGGUUUGCUCGGAGCAAGGUUGGACCUCUGGGCUCCAAGCCCUUAUCUCAGAUUUUCCGUGGCUAUUUCCCCUUCACUGCCUCUGUGGAAGCCCUUCCCCACAGGGUCUGUCUGGAUUAUUCUGGCCUAGGUCCUGCCCAGUAGCAGGGGCUUCCAGGCUGCAGCCGGACUGCCCCAGUGAUGCCCUCUGCAGGGUAGUGUGGGCAGCUCUCCCUCGCAGAGCAGUGCCUGCCCCACACCCUGGUGGCUAGAGGAGAGGACCCUACAGCCACUAUGGGGCUCCUGCCUGCAGGCAGGGCUGGGAGAAAACAGGGCUGGGGUGGGCAGUACAGGGAGUAUUUUUGUAACUUGCUGGAGUGAAUGAAAGGGGGCGAUUCUAAGUUAUUGUUGCCAAAGACGUGUAUACCUUUGCUUUGGGGGUGGGGGCAAUGUUUUCUUUUUUGUUUUUGUUUUGUUUUUAGUUUGAGGCUUAGGAUGCUGGUGCAAUGAUUUUCUUGUUCCUUGUUUUUUAAGAGAAACCAAGCUAAGAAAAAAAAAAACAAAAACAAAAACAAACAGC
rnacentral:lncRNA from 1 species